AGAAGAAGAAGAAGAAGAAGAAAAUCGCCUGUGACGCUAUGUGAGGUUAGAGUUUGAGAAGAUGGAUAAUUGUUCAACUGAGUGAAACGGCUUUGUAAUCUGAUUCACUUCCAGUGCUAAUCUACUCACACAUCAAAGAGAAGUUAGACGGUUAUCCUUCAAACAGAUAAGUAAAAAUUAUUCAACAAAUCUCAUUCAUCUGUAAUAUGUUUUAUGUUUUGGUUCUGUUGAUUAUGAUUAUGAUUGUCCUGUCCUUUUUUUAAAAAAAUGUUUCAGGAAUUUGCAACUCAGAUGUCCAGCAAUCUACAUUUGCCAGGGUCCACACCUUAUUUAUUGGUCAAUCUUUAAAGUCCCCGUGAAAUCAAAAUUGAACCU